rnacentral:rRNA from 1 species
AUUGAACGCUGGCGGCAUGCCUUACACAUGCAAGUCGAACGGCAGCACGGGAGCAAUCCUGGUGGCGAGUGGCGAACGGGUGAGUAAUAUAUCGGAACGUGCCCAGUCGUGGGGGAUCACGUAGCGAAAGCUACGCUAAUACCGCAUACGAUCUAUGGAUGAAAGCGGGGGAUCGCAAGACCUCGCGCGAUUGGAUCGGCCGAUAUCAGAUUAGGUAGUUGGUGAGGUAAAGGCUCACCAAGCCGACGAUCUGUAGCUGGUCUGAGAGGACGACCAGCCACACUGGGACUGAGACACGGCCCAGACUCCUACGGGAGGCAGCAGUGGGGAAUUUUGGACAAUGGGCGCAAGCCUGAUCCAGCAAUGCCGCGUGCAGGAUGAAGGCCUUCGGGUUGUAAACUGCUUUUGUACGGAACGAAACGGCGAGCUCUAAUACAGUUUGCUAAUGACGGUACCGUAAGAAUAAGCACCGGCUAACUACGUGCCAGCCGCCGCGGUAA